UACGUAGGGGGCGAGCGUUGUCCGGAGUUACUGGGCGUAAAGGGCUCGCAGGCGGUGAAGUGCGUCGGAAGUGCCAGCCUUUCGCUUAACGAAGGGAGUGCUUUUGAAACGGCUUCACUUGAGGACGAGAGAGGGACAUGGAACUCCGGGUGGAGUGGUGAAAUGCGUAGAGAUCCGGAAGAACACCAAAGGCGAAGGCAGUGUCCUGGCUCGUUUCUGACGCUGAGGAGCGAGAGCUAGGGGAGCGAACAGG
rnacentral:rRNA from 1 species